UACGGAGGGUGCGAGCGUUAAUCGGAAUUACUGGGCGUAAAGGGUGCGUAGGUGGUUAUGUAAGUUAUCUGUGAAAUCCCAGGGCUUAACCUUGGUGUGUCAGAUAAAACUGUGUAGCUAGAGUAUGAGAGAGGGUAGUGGAAUUUCCGGUGUAGCGGUGAAAUGCGUAGAGAUCGGAAGGAACACCAGUGGCGAAGGCGGCUACCUGGCUUAAUACUGACACUGAGGCACGAAAGCGUGGGGAG
rnacentral:rRNA from 1 species